CACAGAAAGCAUGAUGUAACACUGUUGCCCAGAACAAGUGGUUUAAUUUAUUAUCUAAAUUUAAACACUCAAAAUAGACUUCCAGAUAAGUUUCCUGGUUUGGAAAAUACGAAUAAAAAAACCCCCUAAAACCUAAAAAGAGAACAUGAACAAUGUUAAAGAAAGAAACACAUUGGGGAACAUGAAAGCCCGAAAUAAAAAGUCUUCUGAAAAUACUUCAAACAAUAUUUGAUGACUGUGUCAACCUAAAAGCAAAUUUGCCUGUUGUUUUACUUCAAAAUGAAUUUAUUCAGGAACAGCCCAAAGAAUUGCAAUUCGGAAUGUGCAUGCUAUGACAGACCAUGGCAUGUUUCUGAAUCCAGAAAACAAAGGAGGGGAGAUGCUUUAUAGAGAAAAAGGAGGAAUAGGGAGGGGCUGUUGUCAAGGAAAGUCCAUAGGGGGAAAGUAACAGUUCAGGGUAGCAAUGACCUCUUAUUGCCUGAGCUGUGAUGUUUCUCAUUGGCUGGGCUAUUGCUGUCUGAGGAGAGAAAUCUUCCUUCAGUAGUAAAGUAGUUUUGUUUCCAGUCAGAGAUGCAAGCCAGACGUCUCUUCCUGUUUGGUUUAAUUGGCGAUACAUGAUAGGGCAUGAUAGUUCCUUCUACAGGCCUUCUCGAUUCCAAUUUAGUUGGAAUUUCUCCUAUUAUUUUCUAUAAUUAUAUCCCUAAAAGUGACCAGUAGCCUUUGUGAGCAUGACUGAUGAUAAUUUUUAAAUGAAAAAUAAUUCCAAAUAAAAUUGCCAUGUUACAUUCUGUACAAUGUUAAGAAUGUAAACUCUGGAAUCUACUAUCAAUUCAAAUCCUGGGUCUUCCAUUGACCUGCUGUGUAUCCUAACCUCUUUGUGUCUCAAUUUCCUUAUUUGUAAAAUGAAGAUUUAAAAAAUAUUAUUUACCUCAUCGGGUGAUGGCUACUCAAGAAACAAAUAUUUAUAGAACACCUACUAUGUGCUUCUAAAAUGAGGUGAAUAAAAACAAAGUUUGCUGCCUUGUAGAAUUUAUAUUCUGGAAAGAAAAGGCAGGCAAUGAAUAGUGAGCACAAUAAACAAGUAGAUAGUAUAGUACACAGUUACUAUGGAAAAGAAGAGAAAGUGUAGAGGGUAGGGUGAUUGGAAAUGGCAGGGGUGGGUGGGGGUGUAACUUAAAUAAGAUGGUAAGAGCAGAAUCAAAUAGUUUAAGGCUAAAUGAAAUAAUAAAUAUAACAUACUUAUUACAGUGUGUGAUAUACUGUAAAUAAUAAAUAUUAGCUAUGAAGAUGAUAAUGCUAAUGAUGAUAUCAUGAAUCCUGUAUUAUAAAUUUGAACAUAAUUUUGACAUACAUUUUUUACUACUAGAAGUCAUCUUCUUCCCAUUUUACUAAUAAAUAUUCAACUGCAAUUUAAACAACUUAAGGUGGGACCAGUUAUUAAAGCACCCACAUGUCACAUUCCGGUCCAGGAUGCUCAGAAACCUCAUAGCUCUAAGAGCCAUCCAGCCAUCACCCCGGUCAGAGCUAAUACCUCGUGCAGUUGAAUGGUGGUGAACCAGCUGCCCAUCCCCAGAUGUGCUCCAGUCUUGUCACGGUUAUAUUGGAUGUUUGUUGUGGCGUGACAUACAUAGUAGAAAAUACUUAACGCAUUCUAAAAAGUGAAAAACAGGCUUCCGAGAUGUUUCUAUGGAUAUGUAGGGGUUUGUCAAUUACCCUGGAAGGGAGUGGGCAGAAGUAGGUGUCCCACCAAGAGAGGGCAAUAAGCACAGAGCACUGUGAUAUGUAGAUGGAUGUACAAGCAUUUUGGCAUGACUGGAAUGAAAUGUGAAAUUUGGGGGUGGGGCAUGUCAGAAAAUAAACUUGAAAAGAUGCCACAAUAAACGACUUCUAAUCAUGUGAGAGGUUUGGAAUUUACUCUAUAGGUUACAGAGAAUCACUAAACGAUUUUAAAAAGGGAAAUAAUAUGACCAAAUAUGCAAUUUAGAAAGAUUAUUCUAGUUCCUGCCAAGAAGAUAGAUUCUAUGAGACAGAUGGACAGAAGGAAACUACUUACAAAGCUAUUCCAACAGUUUAUGAAAGAACUGAUGAGACUAAAAUUAGAAUUAGAUGUAAAUAAACACAAGUUGGUAACCAGUUCAGUACCCAUUUAUGGGAUUAAUGACUCUAUAUUGUGAACUGUGGGCAUUAAUGUGCUGCUUAAAACCGCUAAUGACUUUCCAUUUCACCUGGAACAAAUUCCAAACAACAUAACAUGGUCUACAAGAUCUUAUAUAAUCAGAAUCACAUAUAACCCUCCAACUUCAUUCGGAGCCACUUGCUUGCAUGCUCUUGACAUACUGACCUUUCCUCAAAUACGCUCGACACUUUCCCACCUCAGGCCCUACAUACAUGUUAUUCCUCCUCAUCUCUCAUCCCUUACUUAGCAUAAAUGUCAAUGCUAGGGAGAGCAUUUCCAUGACCCUCCCAAUCUAAGUUAAGUCCCUCAUUAUUCUCUCUUAGUACCUUUCACAGAUAUUAAUUUGUGAUUUGUUAUUUUGUAAUUAUGUAUUUAUUUGUCCAUUUGCUUGUUUAAUAUGUCUUUUUUGUUAGCCUGCAAAUUCCAUGAAGGCAGAUGCCAUGUCCCUUUUCUUCCUCAGUCAUAUCCCAGCGCUUAGCACAUGGUGAAUGUUCAAAAUAUAUAUGUUGGAAGAAUGAAUGAGUGGAUGGGUUAUAGGGAACUAAUGAAAUAUCUGGAUUCAGAGUUAAAUUGGGAAUUGUGUAAUUAUGACAGAAUAAGUGAAAAAAAGAUUGAGACACCAGAGAUUCUGGUGACAGUCAAAAGCUGGUUCAAAGGUUGUGGGAAAAUGAAAUGUGUGGGUAAAGACAGAAAGAAGCAAGGAAAUGGUUCAAUAAGAGAAUAUGGAGCUAGAACUCAAGGGUUUUGAGAUGAUUCGGGUGAGAGUACAGAUGUACUGGUGGGAAGUGCAGAGACAAUAAAGAUCGGCUGAGCUGAGAAACAAGAAUUGGGACAUGAAGGUGUCAGAGGCUAACACAGUGGAUACAAACAGACCUGACACCUAGAAGACGUUUUAAAAGGAUUAUUCCAUUAAAUGAGUGAUAAUAACAGGAAGCUGGAUGGAGAAGAAAAAUGGGAGAGCAAAUGCCAUCGACAAAAGCUAUCUGGACAGUGGGUUUACAUUCUGUAAGUAAGUAAAUGUAAGGAUCAAGGUUUGGAAAGACUUAGUAAAAUAGGUGGGCUGAGAGACACAACAGGAUAAGAAUUCCUCUUGCAUCGUAAACAAGUAGGAGUAGAAGGUGAGGAUUACACAAGAAAAGGUUGCUGGGCAUGACUAAAGAAAGCAAAGAGGGAUCAGCACUGAACCUGUUCGACUAGUCCAGGUGUGGAUGUGGGGCUUGUAGGAAAGUCUGAUGGUGGAGAACAACAUUGCAGUCACUUGGGUUAUUUUGAAAGGAAAGUAGGGGUGAUGGUUUUGGUUUGUCUGGGUUUUUCAAUUGUUAUUUUUAGGCAGUAGGAGUAAAUAGCAGGGAUGGAGGAAACUUAAGGCUUAAGUAACAGGCUGGGAACAAAACUUGGUACAGGGGCUGGGAAGAACAAGCUAGAACAAAUCCUGUUGAUUAAGAGGGUUUGAGGUGGGAGGCAGGGAGAUCCCAAGUUGAUAUAUUGAUUAAUGUAUGCAUAGUUUUUCCCAAAUAAACACUCCUGAAUUUGAUUAGCUAUUCAAGAGCUGAGUAAUAAAUGUUUUCUAGAGCUGUUUCCCUUUUCAAUGAACAGAAAAAACUUUGUUUUUGUCUGAGCCCAUGUUUAUGAACUCAGUGGGAUCAACAGGUCUGAGCCCAUAUCCUGCUUUUCUCAGGCUUCAGAGGCCAGACACGAGAAGUGGAGCCUUUUAUCCCAGCUCAUUCACCAUUGUUUUUAAAGAGGAGGAAGGUUUUGCAGAUUCCUUUUCCUACUCAUUAGCUUCCUGAUAUUUGUCAUGCAGUAGGAAUGACUGAACUUAGAAUGACAAACUCUCAAUAAUGACCAAAUAUCUAAUUCUCUAUUUUGGGAACUUGAGCUUAUCUGUUGCAAGCCCAGUUUCUCCCAACUGACUCCACAUGUCUUUUCUUUGCAAAGGCUCGUGAAACCUUAUCAAACAAAGUCAGGGUCCUGGGGAGGUUUGGGCAAGCUGACCUCACAAGAACAGAGUAAAGGAAAGACUUUAGUCAUGGAAAUCCUACACAAAUAAAUGAGUAGUAGUCAUUUUAUAUAAAAAGUAAAACGGUGGAAAAGUCAUCCAGCCUUUUUGCUUCAAUAAGCACUUUAAUGACAUAAGCCCACUGAUGAGCUACUGGGAAAGGAAAAUUUAGUAGUUUCCAAUGUUAAUUCGGGAGUAGGGGAUAACUUAUCCUGAUUUUUAUGGGGCAAGGUACUGCUCCGGAGCUGCCCCCAUCUCCUCACCCACUCUCAUUGUAUGGACGUGGGAAUGUUAGGUUAAUAAAUCACUUAAGGCAUUUUACAUUAUUGAACCUCUAAGAAUGAAGGCAUCUUGUGUGUGCAGCUGGGUGUGUGGGAGUGGGAGAAUCUCACCUGAAAAGCCUGGUUGUUCAUGACGUUAAUCAUUUGACUAAAAUACGUGUUUCUCUGCUCAGAACAUAGAAGGAGGCCCUGUUGGUGCUAGAGGGGAGAGGACGGGGGAAGGGAGCCCUGGUGAUUGAGUGGAAGUCUCUCUUUCUUGAUCUUGACCACAAUGGAGCCAAGACGUCUAGAAGGAGAUUCAGGGUGUUCAGCUGAUUUUCUCCAUAGGAACUUCGGAACAGUACUUUGGAAGUCAGAACACAGGUGGAAGCAAACCCAGACCUCUAAAGUGAAACUAUCAUCACAGCCUCAGGAAAGAGCCAUUGCUGACCUUCAGCUGUUUUUAUACCGGGAUACUAGAUCACCAAACAGCUGCGUGAGAUGAGCUCUCCCUUUCAAAAUAAAACAAUGUUUAGUGA